UACGAGGGGUGCAAGCGUUGCUCGGAAUUAUUGGGCGUAAAGGGUAGGUAGGUGGUCUCAUUUGUCUGGGGUGAAAGCCUCGAGCUUAACUCGAGAAGUGCCUCGGAAACGGUGAGACUAGAGUCUUGGAGAGGGUCGUGGAAUUCCCGGUGUAGCGGUGAAAUGCGUAGAGAUCGGGAGGAACACCAGAGGCGAAGGCGGCGACCUGGACCUCUUCUGACGCUGAGGCGCGAAAGCCAGGGGAGCAAACGGG
rnacentral:rRNA from 1 species